UCCCUUUAAUUAGAUUAAAAUUAGGUUAUACGUACAAUAUUAGGAAGAAUGCGAUGCAUCGGGUAAUAAAUAUUGUUCGAAAACGGAACAACGUAUUCGACGCAUUCCAUUCUUAAUAUCCAAUCAUCAUAUUCACGCGAAAUGGUCAAGUCUCGACAGGCGAUUUUCCCGACAGCUUCAUCGUACGUGACCUCGGCCAAAGGACGAAACUGCCCCGCGGACUCUCGUAACGACGUGUGCGCAUCGUGCGUCGCGCAUCUCGCGUAAAUCCGUCGUCGUCCGUCGGAGGCGCGCGCGGCACUCGAGCUCGCAGAUUAAUAACGCGAUAAAUUCAACGCUUACCCAGGUGGGCGUGCGUGCCGCGUACGAACAGGUAGAUAGAGCUACGCGACGUUGCAUACGAUGCUCCUCCUUUUUCCACUAUCGCCCGACACACUGUCGUCAUCCGUCGAAUCAGGAUUAAUGCGGCUCGCGAGGAAUUUUGCGCAGAUUACUUUUCGAUGUCCAAUCUCAUAGUAAACGAAUGAGCACGAGGAUGAGCAAUUGUGUGGAAGUGAAACGGCUCGAUCAUCGGUACUAAUAGCCGACGUAUUAUGUCAACCGUUAACCGGACAACCGUUUAUUAGGGGGUUGCGGCGCGAUA